GCUAAUACCCCAUAACGCUAUCAAGUGAAAGAAUUUUCGCCUGGGUACGAGCUUGCAUCUGAUUAGCUAGUUGGUAAGGUAAUGGCUUACCAAGGCCACGAUCAGUAGCUGGUUUUAGAGGAUGAUCAGCCACACUGGGACUGAGACACGGAACAGACUCCUACGGGAGGCAGCAGUGAGGAAUUUUCCGCAAUGGGUGAAAGCCUGACGGAGCAAUGCCGCGUGGAGGAAGAAUGCCUUAGGGUUGUAAACUCCUUUUCUCAUUGAAGAAGUUCUGACGGUAUUUGAGGAAUAAGCAUCGGCUAACUCCGUGCCAGCAGCCGCGGUAAUACGGGGGAUGCAAGCGUUAUCCGGAAUUAUUGGGCGUAAAGAGUUUGUAGGUGGUCAAGUGUGUUUAAUGUUAAAGAUCAGAGCUUAACUUUGAAAUGGCAUUAAAAACUACUAGACUUGAGUAUGAUAGAGGUAAAGGGAAUUCCCAGUGUAGCGGUGAAAUGCGUAGAUAUUGGGAAGAACACCAAUGGCGAAGGCACUUUGCUAGGUUAAUACUGACACUGAGAAACGAAAGCUAAGGUAAUGAAGAGGAUUAGAGACCCUCGUAGUCUUAGCCGUAAACUAUGGAUACUAAGUGGCGCUUCUUUGUUUGUGCUGCUGUAGUUAACACGUUAAGUAUCCCGCCUGGGGAGUACGCUUGCAAAAGUGAAACUCAAAGGAAUUGACGGGGGCCCGCACAAGCGGUGGAGCAUGUGGUUUAAUUCGUCGCAACACGAAGAACCUUACCAGGGCUUGACAUGCUAGGAAGUCUCUUGAAAGAGAGAUGUGCCUUUUGGAACCUAGACACAGGUGGUGCAUGGCUGUCGUCAGCUCGUGUCGUGAGAUGUUGGGUUAAGUCCCGCAACGAGCGCAACCCUCGUUUUUAGUUAUUUAUCAAUCUAGAAAGACUGCUGGUUACAAACCGGAGGAAGGUGAGGAUGAGGUCAAGUCAUCAUGCCCUUUAUGCCCUGGGCUACACACGUGCUACAAUGGUUAAGACAAUGAGUCGCUAAUCUGUGAAGACAAGCUAAUCUCACAAACUUAAUCUUAGUUCGGAUCGUAGGCUGCAACUCGCCUACAUGAAG
rnacentral:rRNA from 1 species